CCAACAGAAGUGAAUAUUGGAGCUGAGAGGUUUUCCCAAGCUCUUUUCAGCUUGUAUGGAUUCAUUACCUUAAUCUCAGGAGGAACUCACGGAAAUGAGCAGACAUACUCUCCAGUUUUGAUUGGUGACCCAAGACCAAGACAGACUGGGGAACUUCUCAGCAAUGGAAAGUCCAUCUAUCAUCCUCAUCCCCCAAAAUAAAUGUUCUGGGAACCACAGGAGAUAGGAACAAACUUCUUUUGCCUGGAAGGAGAUCUGUAAGACUACAGCCUAGUCUUCUGGUGUUUUCACUCUUGAAAUAUGCAAGCCUCUUUCCUUGGUCUGCACAUAAAAUUAAGUCUUAGUGUGUGUAAUAACAUGUGGGAAAUACAGGCAAGGCAAUCUCACCUUGGUGCCUGGCAAGAGCGUAAAGCAGAUUCUCCUGGAAGCUGUGCUGAGACCCAUGGGAAAUGAGGUGAUUGGUGACAGCCAACAGAGCUUCACUAACAACAAAUCGUGACUAACAAAUUUGGUGACCUUCUCUGCUGAGGUGGCUGGAGGGAAGAAUGGAUGACAUGACCUACCUGGAGGACUUGAGACUCUCUUGCAUGAGAUCCUUGUCUCAAAACUGGAGACAUGGAUUUGAUAGAUGGACCACUCAGUGGAUAAGGAAUCUGCUGGAUGGUCACAUUCAAUAGAGCUUGGUCAGUGUCUUGAUGUCAAAGUGGAAAGCAGCGAUGAUUUAUGUUCCUCAGGGGUUGGUACUGGGACCGGCACUAUUCAUCAUCUUUGUUGGAGACAUGGACAGUGGGACUGACCAUUGUAUGAACUGCACAGGCUACCAGGAGAUGUGCUGGAAUCUCAUCCUUGGAGAUACUCGGAAUCUGACUGGAUGUGGCUUGAGUGCUGCUGUAGCUGCCCCUGCUUGGGCAGUCUUCAAGGGUGCCUUCCAGCCCCAAAGACUCUGUGAUCUAUUCCGUGCUGUAAAGCAGAUCUUCAGUCUCAUUUCUCUUCAGGUUUUUUUCUCUUUUCUUUGAUGAUUUCCAUUGUCAAACUUACAUUUAAACACACGUAGACUAUGCUCAAAUGUAACAUAUCCAGCAAAACUAGGAUGGUAUUUAUCUUCCCAAAUUUUAGAAGUCUGUAGUGGAGCAUGUACUGCAGAGGUGGUUACUGUAGAUGCUCUUUAAAGUAUGUGAGAGAUUUUUUGGAUUAUGUUCACAGGAGUGGUUUUGUUGUUUAACGGAAGAUGAAUAACCCUUUGAAAUCUCUGUUUCUCUCCAUCAGCCAGAAAAGCAGCCAAAGGUGAUUGUCUCAGACAACUCAACCUAUUGGAACAUUUUGCGUUGAUUCAUUAAAGGUUUUUUCCCCAGUGUCUUUUCCCAAAGUUUCAACUAUGAUUUCUCCUUGCCAUUGGUAUUCAAACUUCACACAUUAAAUGAGCCAGUGAGUGUAA